rnacentral:rRNA from 1 species
UUUGGUUAAGUUAGAAAGGGCGCACGGUGGAUGCCUUGACACUAGGAGUCGAUGAAGGACGGGACUAACGCCGAUAUGCUUCGGGGAGCUGUAAGUAAGCUUUGAUCCGAAGAUUUCCGAAUGGGGAAACCCACCAUACGUAAUGGUAUGGUAUCCUUAUCUGAAUACAUAGGGUAAGGAAGACAGACCCAGGGAACUGAAACAUCUAAGUACCUGGAGGAAGAGAAAGCAAAUGCGAUUUCCUGAGUAGCGGCGAGCGAAACGGAACAUAGCCCAAACCAAGAGGCUUGCCUCUUGGGGUUGUAGGACAUUCUAUACGGAGUUACAAAGGAACGAGGUAGACGAAGCGACCUGGAAAGGUCCGUCGUAGAGGGUAACAACCCCGUAGUCGAAACUUCGUUCUCUCUUGAAUGUAUCCUGAGUACGGCGGAACACGUGAAAUUCCGUCGGAAUCUGGGAGGACCAUCUCCCAAGGCUAAAUACUCCCUAGUGAUCGAUAGUGAACCAGUACCGUGAGGGAAAGGUGAAAAGCACCCCGGAAGGGGAGUGAAAGAGAUCCUGAAACCGUGUGCCUACAAAUAGUCAGAGCCCGUUAACGGGUGAUGGCGUGCCUUUUGUAGAAUGAACCGGCGAGUUACGAUCCCGUGCGAGGUUAAGCUGAAGAGGCGGAGCCGCAGCGAAAGCGAGUCUGAAUAGGGCGUUUAGUACGUGGUCGUAGACCCGAAACCAGGUGAUCUACCCAUGUCCAGGGUGAAGUUCAGGUAACACUGAAUGGAGGCCCGAACCCACGCACGUUGAAAAGUGCGGGGAUGAGGUGUGGGUAGCGGAGAAAUUCCAAUCGAACCUGGAGAUAGCUGGUUCUCCCCGAAAUAGCUUUAGGGCUAGCCUUAAGUGUAAGAGUCUUGGAGGUAGAGCACUGAUUGGACUAGGGGUCCUCAUCGGAUUACCGAAUUCAGUCAAACUCCGAAUGCCAAUGACUUAUCCUUAGGAGUCAGACUGCGAGUGAUAAGAUCCGUAGUCAAAAGGGAAACAGCCCAGACCGCCAGCUAAGGUCCCAAAGUGUGUAUUAAGUGGAAAAGGAUGUGGAGUUGCUUAGACAACUAGGAUGUUGGCUUAGAAGCAGCCACCAUUUAAAGAGUGCGUAAUAGCUCACUAGUCGAGUGACUCUGCGCCGAAAAUGUACCGGGGCUAAAUACACCACCGAAGCUGCGGAUUGAUACCAAUGGUAUCAGUGGUAGGGGAGCGUUCUAAGGACAGUGAAGUCAGACCGGAAGGACUGGUGGAGUGCUUAGAAGUGAGAAUGCCGGUAUGAGUAGCGAAAGACGGGUGAGAAUCCCGUCCACCGAAUGCCUAAGGUUUCCUGAGGAAGGCUCGUCCGCUCAGGGUUAGUCAGGACCUAAGCCGAGGCCGACAGGCGUAGGCGAUGGACAACAGGUUGAUAUUCCUGUACCACCUCUUUAUCGUUUGAGCAAUGGAGGGACGCAGAAGGAUAGAAGAAGCGUGCGAUUGGUUGUGCACGUCCAAGCAGUUAGGCUGAUAAGUAGGCAAAUCCGCUUAUCGUAAAGGCUGAGCUGUGAUGGGGAAGCUCCUUAUGGAGCGAAGUCUUUGAUUCCCCGCUGCCAAGAAAAGCUUCUAGUGAGAUAAAAGGUGCCUGUACCGCAAACCGACACAGGUAGGCGAGGAGAGAAUCCUAAGGUGUGCGAGAGAACUCUGGUUAAGGAACUCGGCAAAAUGACCCCGUAACUUCGGGAGAAGGGGUGCUUUCUUAACGGAAAGCCGCAGUGAAUAGGCCCAAGCGACUGUUUAGCAAAAACACAGCUCUCUGCGAAGCCGUAAGGCGAAGUAUAGGGGGUGACACCUGCCCGGUGCUGGAAGGUUAAGGAGAGGGGUUAGCGUAAGCGAAGCUCUGAACUGAAGCCCCAGUAAACGGCGGCCGUAACUAUAACGGUCCUAAGGUAGCGAAAUUCCUUGUCGGGUAAGUUCCGACCCGCACGAAAGGUGUAACGAUUUGGGCACUGUCUCAACCAGAGACUCGGUGAAAUUAUAGUACCUGUGAAGAUGCAGGUUACCCGCGACAGGACGGAAAGACCCCGUGGAGCUUUACUGUAGCCUGAUAUUGAAUUUUGGUACAGUUUGUACAGGAUAGGCGGGAGCCUUUGAAACCGGAGCGCUAGCUUCGGUGGAGGCGCUGGUGGGAUACCGCCCUGACUGUAUUGAAAUUCUAACCUACGGGUCUUAUCGACCCGGGAGACAGUGUCAGGUGGGCAGUUUGACUGGGGCGGUCGCCUCCUAAAGUGUAACGGAGGCGCCCAAAGGUUCCCUCAGAAUGGUUGGAAAUCAUUCGUAGAGUGCAAAGGCAUAAGGGAGCUUGACUGCGAGACCUACAAGUCGAGCAGGGACGAAAGUCGGGCUUAGUGAUCCGGUGGUUCCGCAUGGAAGGGCCAUCGCUCAACGGAUAAAAGCUACCCCGGGGAUAACAGGCUUAUCUCCCCCAAGAGUCCACAUCGACGGGGAGGUUUGGCACCUCGAUGUCGGCUCAUCGCAUCCUGGGGCUGUAGUCGGUCCCAAGGGUUGGGCUGUUCGCCCAUUAAAGCGGUACGCGAGCUGGGUUCAGAACGUCGUGAGACAGUUCGGUCCCUAUCCGUCGUGGGCGUAGGAAAUUUGAGAGGAGCUGUCCUUAGUACGAGAGGACCGGGAUGGACGCACCGCUGGUGUACCAGUUGUUCUGCCAAGGGCAUAGCUGGGUAGCUAUGUGCGGAAGGGAUAAGUGCUGAAAGCAUCUAAGCAUGAAGCCCCCCUCAAGAUGAGAUUUCCCAUAGCGUAAGCUAGUAAGAUCCCUGAAAGAUGAUCAGGUUGAUAGGUUCGAGGUGGAAGCAUGGUGACAUGUGGAGCUGACGAAUACUAAUAGAUCGAGGACUUAACCAUAUAA